rnacentral:rRNA from 1 species
UACAGAGGUCUCAAGCGUUGUUCGGAUUCAUUGGGCGUAAAGGGUGCGUAGGUGGCGCUGUAAGUCAGGUGUGAAAUUUCGGAGCUUAACUCCGAAACUGCAUUUGAUACUGCGGUGCUUGAGGACUGGAGAGGAGACUGGAAUUUACGGUGUAGCAGUGAAAUGCGUAGAGAUCGUAAGGAAGACCAGUGGCGAAGGCGGGUCUCUGGACAGUUCCUGACACUGAGGCAACGAAGGCCAGGGGAGCAAACGGG